CAGGGAAGAAGCGNAAANNGACGGUACCUGCAGAAAAAGCGCCGGCUAACUACGUGCCAGCAGCCGCGGUAAUACGUAGGGCGCAAGCGUUAUCCGGAAUUAUUGGGCGUAAAGAGCUCGUAGGCGGUUUGUCGCGUCUGCUGUGAAAUCCCGAGGCUCAACCUCGGGUCUGCAGUGGGUACGGGCAGACUAGAGUGCGGUAGGGGAGAUUGGAAUUCCUGGUGUAGCGGUGGAAUGCGCAGAUAUCAGGAGGAACACCGAUGGCGAAGGCAGAUCUCUGGGCCGUAACUGACGCUGAGGAGCGAAAGGGUGGGGAGCAAACAGGCUUAGAUACCCUGGUAGUCCACCCCGUAAACGUUGGGAACUAGUUGUGGGGUCCAUUCCACGGAUUCCGUGACGCAGCUAACGCAUUAAGUUCCCCGCCUGGGGAGUACGGCCGCAAGGCUAAAACUCAAAGGAAUUGACGGGGACCCGCACAAGCGGCGGAGCAUGCGGAUUAAUUCGAUGCAACGCGAAGAACCUUACCAAGGCUUGACAUAUACGAGAACGGGCCAGAAAUGGUCAACUCUUUGGACACUCGUAAACAGGUGGUGCAUGGUUGUCGUCAGCUCGUGUCGUGAGAUGUUGGGUUAAGUCCCGCAACGAGCGCAACCCUCGUUCUAUGUUGCCAGCACGUAAUGGUGGGAACUCAUGGGAUACUGCCGGGGUCAACUCGGAGGAAGGUGGGGAUGACGUCAAAUCAUCAUGCCCCUUAUGUCUUGGGCUUCACGCAUGCUACAAUGGCCGGUACAAAGGGCUGCAAUACCGUAAGGUGGAGCGAAUCCCAAAAAGCCGGUCCCAGUUCGGAUUGAGGUCUGCAACUCGACCUCAUGAAGUCGGAGUCGCUAGUAAUCGCAGAUCAGCAACGCUGCGGUGAAUACGUUCCCGGGUCUUGUACACACCGCCCGUCAAGUCAUGAAAGUCGGUAACACCUGAAGCCGGUGGCCCAACCC
rnacentral:rRNA from 1 species